rnacentral:tRNA from 2 species
GGGCGCGUAGCUCAGCGGAAGAGCACUGUCUUCACACGGCAGGGGUCGCUGGUUCGAACCCAGCCGCGCCCACCA